rnacentral:rRNA from 1 species
AGUGAACGCUGGCGGUAGGCCUAACACAUGCAAGUCGAACGGCAGCACAGUAAGAGCUUGCUCUUACGGGUGGCGAGUGGCGGACGGGUGAGGAAUACAUCGGAAUCUACUUUUUCGUGGGGGAUAACGUAGGGAAACUUACGAUAAUACCGCAUACGACCUACGGGUGAAAGCAGGGGAUCUUCGGACCUUGCGCGAAUGAAUGAGCCGAUGUCGGAUUAGCUAGUUGGCGGGGUAAAGGCCCACCAAGGCGACGAUCCGUAGCUGGUCUGAGAGGAUGAUCGGCCACACUGGAACUGAGACACGGUCCAGACUCCUACGGGAGGCAGCAGUGGGGAAUAUUGGGCAAUGGGCGCAAGCCUGAUCCAGCCAUACCGCGUGGGUGAAGAAGGCCUUCGGGUUGUAAAGCCCUUUUGUUGGGAAAGAAAAGCAGCAGGUUAAUACCCCGCUGUUCUGACGGUACCCAAAGAAUAAGCACCGGCUAACUUCGUG